UAAGCGGAGGAAAAGAAACCAACAGGGAUUGCCUUAGUAGCGGCGAGUGAAGCGGCAAUAGCUCAAAUUUGAAAUCUGGCGUCUUCGGCGUCCGAGUUGUAAUUUGAAGAAGGUAUCUUUGGUUUUGGCUCUUGUCUAUGUUCCUUGGAACAGGACGUCACAGAGGGUGAGAAUCCCGUGCGAUGAGAUGCCCAAUUCCAUGUAAAGUUCCUUCGACGAGUCGAGUUGUUUGGGAAUGCAGCUCUAAGUGGGUGGUAAAUUCCAUCUAAAGCUAAAUAUUGGCGAGAGACCGAUAGCGAACAAGUACUGUGAAGGAAAGAUGAAAAGAACUUUGAAAAGAGAGUGAAAAAGUACGUGAAAUUGUUGAAAGGGAAGGGCUUGAGGUCAGACUUGGUUUACCAGGCCAGCAUCAGUUUGGGUGGCAGGAUAAUAACAUAGUAAUGUGGCACUGCUUCGGUGGUGUGUUAUAGACUUUGUUGAUACUGCCUGCCUAGACUGAGGACUGCGUCUUUGACUAGGAUGCUGGCAUAAUGACCUUAAGCCGCCCGUCUUGA
rnacentral:rRNA from 1 species